rnacentral:rRNA from 1 species
CUUAACGGUAAAAUGGCCUUCGAUACUGGCAGUCUUGAGUCCAGAAGAGGCCGGUGGAAUUCGUGGUGUAGCGGUGAAAUGCAUAGAUAUCACGAAGAACACCAGUGGCGAAGGCGGCCGGCUGGUCUGGUACUGACGCUGAGGCACGAGAGCGUGGGGAGCGAACAGGAUUAGAUACCCUGGUAGUCCACGCUGUAAACGAUGUGUGCUAGAUGUUGGUCCUUCGGGGCCAGUGUCGCAGCUAACGCAGUAAGCACACCACCUGGGGAGUACGUCCGCAAGGAUGAAACUCAAAGGAAUUGACGGGGGCCCGCACAAGCGGUGGAGCAUGUGGCUUAAUUCGAUGCAACGCGAAGAACCUUACCCAGGCUAAAUCCAGCCUGAUCGGCCCUGAAAAGGGUCUUCCCUUCGGGGCAG